rnacentral:rRNA from 1 species
UACGUAGGGUGCAAGCGUUGUCCGGAAUUAUUGGGCGUAAAGAGCUUGUAGGCGGUUUGUCGCGUCUGCUGUGAAAUUUCGGGGCUCAACCCCGAACUUGCAGUGGGUACGGGCAGACUAGAGUGUGGUAGGGGAGACUGGAAUUCCUGGUGUAGCGGUGAAAUGCGCAGAUAUCAGGAGGAACACCGAUGGCGAAGGCAGGUCUCUGGGCUAUAACUGACGCUCAUGCACGAAAGCGUGGGGAGCAAACAGG